AUGGCCAGAGCCUGUGCUUUAGUUUUCAUCGAUGCGGUGUGCACGAACGACGGACCCUGGUAGGAUGUAGGAUGCAAAAAACGGCGUAAUCGCCCGACGCCUGAUCCUCGUGAUCGGAAAAGGCGCCUCUUCGUUCCAGGACAUGCAACGCCGUCCCGAACUGCAGCAGCUGCUUUGCUGCUGCCUCAUGACAUUCGUUGCGUUGGCCGCAAGAGGGGCCUGCUCGCACCGAUCGGCCACUGCUAUCGCCUCACAGCAGUGGUUGCGACAUCAUCACCUCAACGAAGAAAUAGUUGUCAAAGCGGAACGCGGUGGAUCAGCUCGUCUUCCAUGUGACAUCGAAUCAUACCUCGAUGACGAACCCACGACUAUCAAAUGGUUUAAGGAUAACACAUCAUCACCCUUUUAUAUCCUUGAAGAUGCUCGGAGAAGGGGUAUCUGGAAUGCCAACCACGACAUCAGCGUCGAAUGGGCUGGACGAGCUUUUUUUUCAGCUCUGAGCAGCCCAGCGAGUUUGGAGGUAUCGAAGCUUGACGCCAUCGACGCAGGCCACUACGCGUGCCGGGUUCGAUUUCACAGAGGAGAAACCCGUACGCAAAACAUUACGCUUCUUGUUGGAGUGUCCCCUUCCAGACCUCAGAUUAGCGAUGGUGACGGAACUAUUCUACAGGGAAGUAUCGGACCCUUCUACGUUGGACAUAGCUUACGACUAAAUUGCGUCAUCGAGAAAGGUGAACCAUCACCCAAAGUUGUGUGGCGUCGGAAUGGCGUUGAACUUGUUAACGGGGGACGCUACACGAUCUAUCCGAAAAAGCAACUGUUUUCGAAUAGUACUCGAGCAAUAGUUUAUUGGAGCGUUCUCGACAUCGGCCGCUUAACCAGAGACGAAUUUCGGGUAACCUUCAGCUGUGAGGCUUCGAACCAGAUUUCUGACAAACCUCAGGUGGCAUCUGUUACCAUCGAUCUCAUCUUACCGCCGCUGUCAGUCGAAGUAGAGCACAGUGGUUCCCGCUACGACGCAGGAGCUUCAGCUGAGUUUCGAUGUCGCGUUAGUGGAUCGAGGCCUUUCCCAGUCGUGACGUGGAUCCUCACUUCGAGGAAGAUCGAAUCGUUCUUCAAUGAUAUUAGCACUGAUGACGACGGUAACACAACGAUAUCGACACUACUUUUGCAUAUGAGUCCUCAGGAAAAUGGACAAAAGCUAAUCUGCCGUGCUAGCAACCAUCAGUUGCCGGGAAGUACAUGGGAGGACUCUGUUUUACUCAACGUUCUUCAUCCCCCAAUCGUAAGUCUGUCUUUAGGUGAAGGACUAUCACUGUCCCGCUUGGUUGAGGGCAGUGACGUCUAUUUCGAAUGCUUAGUAUCUGCCAACCCGCCCCUCAAUCACAUCCGGUGGACGCUCAACGACCGGGAACUUCCCCAAGAUCCGGACAUUGUCUUGCAGGGCACCUAUCUCGCUCUUCGCAAUGUGUCCGCAGUUAAACUCAACGGUCGCUUGAACUGCGAUGUCUCGAACUCCUUAGGCAGUAUGCGGAGCAACGACGUCGAACUACGCAUUCAGUAUCCACCGCGCUGCCGAACGGAGGUCGUCGAGGCACACUAUCGAUUUACGUCUACAAAAUCGCCGCUUAUUAUUCGUUGUCAAAUGGACGCGGACCCACGUGAUCGGCUCGUCUUUAGCUGGUUUGUGCGCAACGCUACUAACGGCGAACGCCGCACUCUUCGCGACCAUAAAGCAAUGAACGAAUCAACAUCUGUUCUGUUCUAUACGCCAUCGUCGAUGUCUGAGGAAGCGGACCUUGAGUGUUGGGCAUCGAAUGCGUUGAACCGGUCUGACAGAGCCAGACCCUGCGUCUUCCACGUACAACCAUACGGUAUGGAGCCACGAACUGCAUCUAGCGUUCCUCCGGCAUUAGAAGAGUGCCAGGUUGUCAAUCAGGCCCAAAGUUGGUUUUUCCUUGAGUGCGAUACUUCGUCGAGGGAACACAUUGCAGAGAUCUACCAAGUGGAGGUUCGCCAUGCAGAUUCCGGCGUACUUCUUUUCAAUGCGUCAUCUGAUCGCGACGCCGCCUUUGAGGUACGCGGUUUACCGGAAGCCACCGAAUGUAUAGUGCUAAUAUUUGCCCGGAAUGAAAAAGGCAGGUCUGAACCAGCUAGGGUUAUUAUCAAAGCAAUUUCCCCGCCAUCGAAGCUGCUCACUAAUGGCGUAGUGGAGACUUCUGUGACGGUUGGCAGCAUUAUGUUUAUCAUUGUGUUGUUCGUAGCCUGCUGUGUGACAAGUUAGCGGUGCGUGCGAGGGCGUUUUGGUGGAACGGAGGGUGGUCACCAUGACCUUGCUGCCGAUGGUAGCACGCCGUCUCUGCCUGCGCCCCCGCCCGAUGUGGCGCAUGUUGCGCCCCUAGAUAUCACAGGGACCUCAUCACACUCUUUCAAGCAGAAUCAGCAACGAGGGGCCACGAAGCCUCGUUGCUCGCCCGGACGCCAACUAGGACUGCUCCGCAGUGCCAGUGCCUUAUUCAGGAGAAGAAAAAAGCCGCGAACAGUCACCGUCCUACAGGACAUCGCCGAGCAGGAUAACAACCACAAGGUCUAGCGGACAACAACACGUAGGAUACAGCAAAAAAAAGACACCUACAACCGCUACCGCAACCACCUAAAUUGGACUACCCUUUCUGUUAAUCAGUCAACCCGUCCGUACAUUACAAUAUUGUCUCCGCACGCAUUCUGAGCUGCUCCGAGGCUUCGUAACGUUUAGACGUUCAGGCUUCAGCUACUUUUUGAGUUUUGUCGCAUUAUCCAAUUCAACUUUUGCUAUCAUACUAACACGUACUCUAGAUAGCAUGGGAAUGAACAAUUGUACAACAAGGGAUUCAUACACACAUCAGAUGUAUGAGCAUGUACAAUGUAUCAGAACGGGCAAAACUUUCUAUAUCUAGAUGAAGAGAACAACACGGAUAUAUAUCUAUGAACAAAUAAACGCAAGCAUGUAAAAAUGUUCGAUCAACUAAUAAAAAUAAUUGUACAGAAACGGCCAGUGCACGAUAUGCAUAUAAAAAACGGUGAAGUUAACUGAUUAAAAAUAAACAUGCUUAUUGUUAGUAUUAUCACCCUAUUAUACUGAAUCACAACAGAGAGCUUCGAACACUUUUUUCGGUCUGUUUCAAUCCAAUGUGCCAAAAAAAAAAAUGAUAAUCAUUAUCGUUCCAAGAGAGAUCAAAAUUUAAAGAAAAAGUUAAGCGUUUGACCUUCGCCAACCCACGUCUUGCUUGCGUCCGCUUAUUACCGAAAAACGUACAAUGCAUCUAUCUCCAUAAUAAAACUGUUACUAUAAUGCUGUGGUAAAGCUACGAAGCGUUAAAGAAUCGUUGGCGAAAAUGACGAUGAAAAGAAAAAGAUGCAAAUAUGAGAUCG